rnacentral:rRNA from 1 species
GGCCGCGGGAAUUCGAUUCAGGCCUAACACAUGCAAGUCGAGCGGUAGAGAGAAGCUUGCUUCUCUUGAGAGCGGCGGACGGGUGAGUAAUGCCUAGGAAUCUGCCUGGUAGUGGGGGAUAACGUUCGGAAACGGACGCUAAUACCGCAUACGUCUUACGGGAGAAAGCAGGGGACCUUCGGGCCUUGCGCUAUCAGAUGAGCCUAGGUCGGAUUAGCUAGUUGGUGAGGUAAUGGCUCACCAAGGCGACGAUCCGUAACUGGUCUGAGAGGAUGAUCAGUCACACUGGAACUGAGACACGGUCCAGACUCCUACGGGAGGCAGCAGUGGGGAAUAUUGGACAAUGGGCGAAAGCCUGAUCCAGCCAUGCCGCGUGUGUGAAGAAGGUCUUCGGAUGUAAAGCAAAUGAAGUUGGGAGGAAGGGCAGUUACCUAAUACGUGAUGUU